GUCCCAUCAGCUAGUUGGUGAGGUAACGGCUCACCAAGGCUACGACGGGUAGGGGACCUGAGAGGGUGGCCCCCCACAAUGGAACUGAAACACGGUCCAUACACCUACGGGUGGCAGCAGUAGGGAAUAUUGCACAAUGGGCGAAAGCCUGAUGCAGCAACGCCGCGUGUGCGAUGAAGGCCUUCGGGUCGUAAAGCACUUUUAUGAGAGAUGAGUAAGGACAGUAUCUCAGGAAUAAGUCUCGGCUAACUACGUGCCAGCAGCCGCGGUAAAACGUAGGAGGCGAGCGUUAUCCGGAUUCACUGGGCGUAAAGCGCGUGCAGGCGGUUCGGUAAGUUGGGCGUGAAAUCUCUUGGCUUAACUAGGAGAGGUCGUUCAAUACUACGGGACUUGAGAGUGAUAGAGGAAGAUGGAAUUCCCGGUGUAGUGGUGAAAUGCGUAGAUAUCGGGAGGAACACCAGUGGCGAAAGCGAGCUUCUGG
rnacentral:rRNA from 1 species